GGGUAAUGCUGUUUUGGCAGCCACAAGCGCAAGUUGGACAGCUCACAAUGGAUUUGCUAUAAAAGGAUGAGAGUGAGACACAACAGGGUAAGUCUGGUGAUGCAGAUAUUGGUGCAUAAAACCAACAACAAUGACAAGGAAAAGUAUCAAAGAAGGAUAAGAAGGGCCCACAGGUAUAUCCAGGCCCCGGUGUAUUCAGUGUGAAGUUUUGUGGUGCUCUGGCAGUUGUAUUGUUAGUUCCCGCUUGACUAACCGUAA